GAUUUGCGCAGACCGGGCGGGGCCGGGUCGGCGCCGGUCCUCAGCCGGGGCCAAAAAAAGGGCGCACCAUGUGCGCCCGGGUUGCGAUCCUCGUCGAAUCG
rnacentral:tRNA from 1 species